GAGUGAACGGCUGACAGAACUGACUUAACCACGAGUGCAAGUCUACGUUGAUCCUUCGGGUGAUGGUGGGCGGACGGGGUGAAGGUAACGCGUAAAGAACUUGCCUUGCAGUCUGGGACAACGUCUGGAAACGGACGCUAAUACCGGAUAUUAUGAUUGAAUCGCAUGAUUUGAUUAUGAAAGCUAUAUGCGCUGCGAGAGAGCUUUGCGUCCCAUUAGUUAGUUGGUGAGGUAACGGCUCACCAAGACGAUGAUGGGUAGCCGGCCUGAGAGGGUGAACGGCCACAAGGGGACUGAGACACGGCCCUU
rnacentral:rRNA from 1 species